rnacentral:rRNA from 1 species
CGUGUAGGCGGGGAUAUAAGUCAAAUGUGAAAUCCCGAAGCUCAACUUCGGAACGGCAUUUGAUACUGUAUUUCUUGAGGGUAGGCGGAGAAAAUGGAAUUCCACGUGUAGCGGUGAAAUGCGUAGAUAUGUGGAAGAACACCUGUGGCGAAAGCGGUUUUCUAGCUUAUACCUGACGCUGAGGCGCGAAAGCAAGGGGAAUCAAACA